CGAACGGACAAGAUUUUCUCCUAUACCGCGGACAGAGUCUCCCCUGUACGUCCAAGGCAUCACAAUCCAUACAAUACGCGAGGUUCCAACCAGGAACAACAUACAAGCAUAGAUUGCAUAAGGAGAGUAUCGAAAACAUAAACAUCUAAGAUAUUACAUGCAUUCAACUCACAUAUUACAUUUUACAUCACAUAUUACACUUUUCAUACUCUUUUAACUCUUUUAAACUUCCAAAUACAAUCCAACUUUAACAUAAUUAUUACAACUUGGUUCUUUUCUUUCUUGCAAUCCCUAAGUAGCCGACUCAGGGUACCGCUAUCUCUGGUCUCGGUGGUAGGGCGCUAACUAUGGAGCUACGCCAUUUCCUCGCGCCGCCGCGCCGCUCACGUGUGAACCUGUACCCCCAAAAACAACACGGGGGUGAGAAUUAUUGUCCAUAGUUUUCAGUGGGUACGGCCACCCAAGGAAAAAGCUCGACCCACCAGGUCCAAAGGAGGCACUGCAAACAUGCUAAUCCAACAGAUAUAUAUAUAUAUAUAUAUAUAUAUACUAUAUAUAUAUAUAUAUAUAUAUAUAUAUAUGACAUCAUAUAAUUUAUGUUCAUGCCUCGCAAAUGCAACUAUGCAAAUUCAUGCAACUUAUGCAAGUAGAUUAACUAAUUCUACUUUCACUCACUUGCCUUUCUUUAAUUCUUAGCCGUUCUUUAUUAUUUGCUAUUCCUUAGCAUUAACCGUUCUUUAUUCGUUGUCAUUCUUUACUAUUUGCUAUUCUUUAGCACUAACCAAUCUUUCCUAAGGUUACUUUACCUUAGCCAACUAUGCUACUCGACUCGGUCUUGAGUCAAUCAAUCGCGAAUAUGCCGCGCUCUGUCAGGCUCAAGGUGAAGGACGUCUCACAUGCACCUCAACCUUAAAUCCUCAAACCACAUCGCCCAACGGGCGAGGAGAACCAACAUAUAUACUGCUGAUGGUGCAUGGCAUUUGCCACAAUCAAUACCCAAUCCUCUCGGCUAACCCGUAGGUUUCGCCUUUAAACUCACCAACUCAAAUCCCUACUAUCGGGGAGAAACUCCUACGACCCGACGGGACCGUCCUCUGGGGAGAAACUACUACGACCCAGUGAUGACCCGACAGGCUCAACCUCUGGGGAAACUCCAACCCAGUGAUGAUCACUGCGGAGCUCAUCGCUCGAGGGGGAGCGACCGCCCUCAAGUAUCGGAUGUAUAGGUGAGUAUGAUCCAAUCCACAACCAUGAGCAUACCA
rnacentral:lncRNA from 1 species